AGAACCCGUGCGGGAGAGUCCGUCGUCGUUCGCGACGAGGGCGCCGAAGGAGCAAAUCCUCCCCGGAAUCUCUCAGGCACACGUACCGCACGGACGAG
rnacentral:ncRNA from 1 species